UACAGAGGGUGCAAGCGUUGUUCGGAAUUAUUGGGCGUAAAGCGCGUGUAGGCGGCUUUGCAAGUCGGGUGUGAAAGCCCUCAGCUUAACUGAGGAAGGGCGCCCGAAACUGCAGAGCUUGAGUACCGGAGAGGAUGGUGGAAUUCCCCAAGUAGAGGUGAAAUUCGUAGAUAUGGGGAGGAACACCGGUGGCGAAGGCGACCAUCUGGACGGAUACUGACGCUGAGACGCGAAAGCGUGGGUAGCAAACAGG
rnacentral:rRNA from 1 species